UGGCAAGCCACCAUUUACCACCUCUACUUUUCUUUUGUCCUCCUGCAAUUCAGUGGCUUUCUACACGUUUCAGAGAUUUAACACAAUACAACUAAUUAAUGGCAAUACGUGAGACACAGCACAGCCAAUCCAAAUAAACUCCGCAGGACAAAAGAAGUGAACUUCAGAAUCACUUGUGUUCAAAACCAGGAAGGCCUCAUUGGAUAAUCAAUACACAACGUUAAAAUGAAAAAUGGCUGUACUUACAAUGGGAGGAAGGUCUUUAAUGCAGCAGCUGCCCUGAAGAAUUCCUGCUGUUAAGUCCUGGGACAUAGAUGAUUGGCCUCCAACAAUCACA